GUCGAGAAUCUUUCACAAUGGGGGCAACCCUGAUGGAGCGACGCCGCGUGGAGGAUAAGGUCUUCGGAUUGUAAACUCCUGUCAUGCGUGAACAAGGUUGCUUGGUUAAUACCUGGGCAAAUUGAUGGUAACGCAAGAGGAAGAGACGACUAACUCUGUGCCAGCAGCCGCGGUAAUACAGAGGUCUCAAGCGUUGUUCGGAAUCACUGGGCGUAAAAGGUGCGUAGGUGGCGUGGUAAGUCAGAUGUGAAAGCCCGGGGCUCAACCUCGGAACUGCAUCCGAUACUGCCAUGCUAGAGUACUGGAGAGGUGACUAGAAUUCUCGGUGUAGCAGUGAAAUGCGUAGAUAUCGAGAGGAAUACCAAAGGCGUAGGCAGGUCACUGGACAGUUACUGACACUGAGGCACGAAGGCCAGGGGAGCGAACGGGAUUAGAAACCCCGGUAGUCC
rnacentral:rRNA from 1 species